rnacentral:rRNA from 1 species
AAACGAUGAUUACUAGGAGUUUGCGAUAUACCGUCAAGCUUCCACAGCGAAAGCGUUAAGUAAUCCACCUGGGGAGUACGCCGGCAACGGUGAAACUCAAAGGAAUUGGCGGGGGCCCGCACAAGCGGAGGAACAUGUGGUUUAAUUCGAUGAUACGCGAGGAACCUUACCCGGGAUUGAAAUGUAGAUGACGGAUGGUGAAAACCGUCUUCCCUUCGGGGCUUCUAUGUAGGUGCUGCAUGGUUGUCGUCAGCUCGUGCCGUGAGGUGUCGGCUUAAGUGCCAUAACGAGCGCAACCCACAUCGGUAGUUGCUAACAGUUUUCGCUGAGGACUCUACCGAGACUGCCGUCGUAAGGCGCGAGGAAGGUGUGGAUGACGUCAAAUCAGCACGGCCCUUACAUCCGGGGCGACACACGUGUUACAAUGGGAGGGACAAAGGGCAGCUACCGGGCGACCGGAUGCGAAUCUCUAAACCCUUCCCCAGUUCGGAUCGGAGUCUGCAACUCGACUCCGUGAAGCUGGAUUCGCUAGUAAUCGCGCAUCAGCCACGGCGCGGUGAAUACGUUCCCGGGCCUUGUACACACCGCCCGUCAAGCCAUGGGAGUCGGGGGUACCUGAAGGGCGUAACCGCAAGGGGCGCACUAGGGUAAUACCGGUGGCUGGGGGUAAGUCGUAACAAGGUAGCCG